GGCGAGGGAUGACUCCGGCGAUCCGCCGAGCUGCGGCGCCGUCGCUACCGCUUUGGCUCGCUGCGCGGCUGGCGAAGGACGGCGGCGCCCGCGGGGAAAGGACCGAUCGGGGCAGGCUUGCAUGGGAGGAGGCUGUACGGGGCGAGGUGGAGGCGUAGCCUGCGUGGGGAUCGAGCCCUUGGAGUGAUAGGCCGGAUCCGGGAUGGAGAAGGUGAUUUGAGGCCUAGUUAAGAAGACAUAUCUAUCAACAAUUCUAACACAGGAAACCUACAAGCAAAGAAGAAACUGAAACCUUCUUCCUUCUCAUGUGACAAUGGCUGUUCCUCUGAAGGCAGAAUUUAUUUAUUUAUUUAAUCUCUAACCUGCUCCAUUAGCCAUAAAGCUCUCAGGGCAGGGUACAACAUAAUGCAUCUUGUUUUUGCAUUUAACAGUUGCAGACUCUGUCUACAACCUAAUACUUUCUUCUCCUCAGUGCACAAGUAUUGUAAUGAUCCAAUAGUGUACAUUGUCUUACAGAAGCAUCUAUUAUAUCAUUUUUAGAAAAGAUGUUAGGCAAUAAAUAUAUAAAAACCUCA